rnacentral:rRNA from 1 species
UACGUAGGGGGCGAGCGUUGUCCGGAUUUAUUGGGCGUAAAGAGCUCGUAGGCGGUUCGAUAAGUCGGACGUGAAAUCUCCACGCUCAACGUGGAGGGGCCGUUCGAUACUGUUGUGACUCGAGUCCGGUAGGGGAGUGUGGAAUUCCCGGUGUAGCGGUGAAAUGCGUAGAUAUCUGGAGGAACACCGGUGGCGAAGGCGGCAUCCUGGACCGAGACUGACACUGAGGAGCGAAAGCCAGGGGAGCAAACGGG